CACUUCUCCUCUCACCUUCCCUGCAUUACCCUCAUUAACUCUGCCCUGCUCCUAGUGUCUUCCCCAGCCUAUUGGCUCCCAGACUGCCCUUGUGUUAUGCCACCUGUUCCUUGUUGUCUGAUUAGUUCAGUUUGCAUUUAAAUUCAGUUCAGUCUUUGUUGAGUCGUCUGUUCAGUUUGCUCAGUGUCUGUGCUGCCUGCUUAGUUGGUUUUUUGUAUUCAGUUCUCUCAGCUCAACCAGCUUUUGUUUUUUUGCCUGCAAGUCUUGAAAUGAAGACGGUUUUUUUCAGCCCUGCUUUCCGGUCUCUGCAUUCGGGUCCACUUGCUCCUUAAUAGGUGCGGUCAGAAGUGUUGUCAUAAGGUCCUGGAGUAUACCUGUACGUCAUUGCAGCAUGGUGAGAAGUGAAACCACUGAAGAUUCCAGUCACCUGCAAGUCUCCAACUGGGGAAGGGGACUGUGUUCCAGUCUAGCAAGUUAGGAAACAAAGACCCUACCAGAGGAGCCAACCACUGUUUUCCCAGACUUUAGAUUUUAGCGUGGGGGGACUGAGUGGUAGAGUAGCCAUCUUGCAUGUGUGCUUUGUGUGGUUUGAGUCACCUUACCUUGCUGUGAGUAGGCAAAUUUGAGUGUUGUAGAACAGUUUUAAUUUGGUUCGGAUUGGAUUGUGUGUAGUGGUUUAUUCAUAAUUUGCCUACAUAUUUUGUGACCAUUUCUUCUUUUUACACAUAACUCUACACUAACCUCCCUGAUAGUGCAGUCUAGCCCCACAUUGUUUAUUUUCUUCGCUUGUUCAUUUAUUGUUUUUGAUUUAUGUAUUAAUUGUACAAUUUACUAUAUCCCUCCUUUAUUAUGGCCUGCAUUUAGGCCUUCUAUUGAAACUGCCUUGCUGCUACUUAGUUGAAUGGAGACAAG